AUGUAGGUGGAGCCUGUGGUCUGGGCUCAAUUAUUGGAUACGAACAGCCACAAUGUGUUUCUCUCUGUCACACUGGGCCUCCCUUCAGCCUCAUAGCAACCCCAUAUGGUAGUUACUACUGUUUACUCUUUUCCUGGGCCUACAGAAGCUUUAGAUUCAUCAUCAUCAUCGUCAUCGUCAUCAUCCUUGGGUCACAUGGCUGAUAGGCAGAUACUGUACAUGACUUCUCACAAGAUCUCCAGGAGGACUGAACCCAGAUGCCUACGCUCUGUUUCACUCUUCCCAGUUCUCCCGUCCCAGCCUUGGGAACAUUUCCUCGAAUAAAUCUGCCUGAAUGGCGAGCUGA